UACGUAGGGUCCGAGCGUUGUCCGGAAUUACUGGGCGUAAAGAGCUCGUAGGUGGUUUGUCGCGUUGUUCGUGAAAACUCACAGCUCAACUGUGGGCGUGCGGGCGAUACGGGCAGACUGGAGUACUGCAGGGGAGACUGGAAUUCCUGGUGUAGCGGUGAAAUGCGCAGAUAUCAGGAGGAACACCGGUGGCGAAGGCGGGUCUCUGGGCCGAUACUGACGUGAGGAGCGAAAGCGUGGGGAGCGAACAGG
rnacentral:rRNA from 1 species